rnacentral:rRNA from 1 species
UGCGUAGGUGGUUCUGCAUGUCGGGUGUGAAAUACCACGGCUUAACCGUGGAAGUGCAUUCGAAACUGCAGAGCUAGAGUGCAGGAAGGGAGAGUGGAAUUCUUGGUGUAGCGGUGAAAUGCGUUGAUAUCAAGAAGAACACCGGUGGCGAAGGCGGCUCUCUGGAAUGCAACUGACACUGAGGCACGAAAGCUGGGGGAGCAAACA